AAGUCGUAACAAGGUUUCCGUAGGUGAACCUGCGGAAGGAUCAUUACUGAGUUAGGGUCCCUGUGGCCCAACCUCCCAACCCUUGUGUUUAACUAUACCACGUUGCUUCGGCGGGCCCGCUCCUCCGGGAGCCGCUGGACCUCUUUACUGAGGCCUGGCCAGUGCCCGUCGGUAGCCCCAAUAUCUUAACUCUUGACUAAUUGUGUUGUCUGAGUACCAAAUUUAAUUAAAAACAAAACUUUCAACAACGGAUCUCUUGGUUCUGGCAUCGAUGAAGAACGCAGCGAAAUGCGAUAAGUAAUGCGAAUUGCAGAAUUUCAGUGAGUCAUCGAAUCUUUGAACGCACAUUGCGCCCUCUGGUAUUCCGGGGGGCAUGCCUGUUCGAGCGUCAUUAUCAACCCUCAAGCCUGGCUUGAUGUUGGACUCCGGCUGUCUUGACGACAAGCCCGGUCCCAAAGACAAUGACGGCGUCUGUUGGACCCUCGGUGCAAUGAGCUCUCACCAGCACGCCCCGAGUUGCAAGGUCUUUCAGCCCGGUCUCCCAGUAUUUUUUUACCAGGUUGACCUCGGAUCAGGUAGGAAUACCCGCUGAACUUAA
rnacentral:rRNA from 1 species